rnacentral:rRNA from 1 species
UACGGGGGGGGCAAGCGUUGUUCGGAAUUACCGGGCGUAAAGGGCUCGUAGGCGGCCAACUAAGUCAGACGUGAAAUCCCUCGGCUUAACCGGGGAACUGCGUCUGAUACUGGAUGGCUUGAGUUUGGGAGAGGGAUGCGGAAUUCCAGGUGUAGCGGUGAAAUGCGUAGAUAUCUGGAGGAACACCGGUGGCGAAGGCGGCAUCCUGGACCAACACUGACGCUGAGUGAGCGAAAGCCAGGGGAGCAAACGGG